rnacentral:rRNA from 1 species
AUUGAACGCUGGCGGCAUGCUUUACACAUGCAAGUCGAACGGCAGCACGGGGGCAACCCUGGUGGCGAGUGGCGAACGGGUGAGUAAUGCAUCGGAACGUGUCCUCUUGUGGGGGAUAACCAGUCGAAAGACUGGCUAAUACCGCAUGAGAUCGAAAGAUGAAAGCGGGGGACCGCAAGGCCUCGCGCGAGAGGAGCGGCCGAUGCCGGAUUAGCUAGUUGGUGGGGUAAUGGCCCACCAAGGCGACGAUCCGUAGCUGGUCUGAGAGGACGACCAGCCACACUGGGACUGAGACACGGCCCAGACUCCUACGGGAGGCAGCAGUGGGGAAUUUUGGACAAUGGGCGCAAGCCUGAUCCAGCCAUGCCGCGUGUGUGAAGAAGGCCUUCGGGUUGUAAAGCACUUUCGGACGGAACGAAAUCGCGCGUACGAAUAUUGCGCGUGGAUGACGGUACCGUAAGAAGAAGCACCGGCUAACUACGUGCCAGCAGCCGCGGUAAUACGUAGGAUGCAAGCGUUAAUCAGAAUUACUGGGCGUAAAGGGUGCGCAGGCGGCCCCGCGUGUCAGGCGUGAAAUCCCCGGGCUCAACCUGGGAAUGGCGCUUGAAACUACGG